UACAGGGGUCCCGAGCGUUGUUCGGAUUCAUUGGGCGUAAAGGGUGCGUAGGCGGCGGGGCAAGUCUGAUGUGAAAUCCCGGGGCUCAACCCCGGAACUGCAUUGGAUACUGCCUUGCUAGAGUACUGGAGAGGGAACUGGAAUUUACGGUGUAGCAGUGAAAUGCGUAGAGAUCGUAAGGAAGGCCAGUGGCGAAGGCGAGUUCCUGGACAGUGACUGACGCUGAGGCACGAAGGCCAGGGGAGCAAACGGG
rnacentral:rRNA from 1 species